rnacentral:lncRNA from 1 species
AGGAGAUCGAGACUAUCUUGGCUAACACGAUAUCCACGACUGUUACAGAUGCUUCGUGGAGGUUCAAAAAGACUACAGAUCAAGGCCAGUGACCUUCUACACAUGGUGGACACUCCAGCCUCUGCUCAAUCUCCAUCCACACUUAAAGGAAAUAGCCAACUCUUGGCCAACCUUCAGGCCUGGGAAGAGGCUCAAGCAGACACUGAAGACGGACUUAAGGCUGAAUAUGGCUGGAAUACUGCCCAAAUGAACUGACCAUUUUCCCAGUACUUUCAUCUUCAGAGAGAAGGCACUAAAAGUGGAUGGAGAGAAGACACAGAGGCUGGGCUGAAGGGGGAGGAAGCUGGGAGCCCUGCACAGGGCUACUGCACACUGGGACCUGCUCCUGGUUCAGCUCUGGAGGAAAGGCAUGACCAAGGACCAGGGUAUAUACACCAGACAACAGAGCCGUUUCAUUUUGGGGGCUCGUUUGGGAUCAGAAUCAGAAUGGAAGGUAGAAACAUCAGAGUGGCUAUACGAUGUCCGGAAGUGGUGGGUUCUUGGUCUCACUGACUUCAAAAAUGAAGACGAAGACGUGGACUCUGGCGGUGAGUGUUACAGUUCUUAAAGGCGGUGUGUCCGGAGUUCAUUCCUUAUAAUGUUGGGAGUUUCUUCCUUAUGGUGGGUUUGUGGUCUCGCUGGCUCCGGAGUGAAGCUGCAGACCUUCGCGGUGAGUGUUACAGCUCUUAAGGCGGCACGUCUGGAGUUGCUGGAUCCUCCCGGUGCGUUUGUGGUCUCGCUGACUUCAGGACUGAAGCUGCAAACCUUUGCCGUGAGUGUUACAGCUUAUAAAAGCAAUGUGGACCCACAGAGAGAACAGCAGCAAGAUUUAUUGGAAAGAGAUAAAGAAUAAGGCUUCCACACUGUGGGAGGGGACCGGAGGGGGUUGCCACUGCUGG